UCUUAAAGAAAAGUGGGGGCAGAGCUUUACCUUGAGAUUCUCUGCCAUGAAAACCAUAUCAAUUUAUCUAGCUGUAUUGAUGAUCUUUCCGUACAAUCAUCGACAUUUUUCUGUGUUUUCUUGUUGUUGAAAAAAAUAAACGUCAACAUUGUUUACCUACCUUUUUUUUUCCUUGGCUUGUUGGGUCCAUCUCCUUGAAGUUAGGCAACUGUGUUUUUCUUGGUCAU